UCGCCGCCCCCUGACCUCUCUUGCCCUCCUGCUCCCGGCCUCCCUCCCCCACCUCGGCACCCUGGGCCCUCAGGGGCCACCGAGGGCUCUGGAUGUGGGGCUGAUGGGGGCUGCGGGUGGGGACAGGCUGAGGCUCACUGACGGGGGACAGGCGUGACGGCUCACGUGUGCACGUGUGCACACACUCACGCACUGAGCUCCGCGUGUGAGACACACUCUGUGGCCCGCUCGGGGAGCACUGGAGUGGGAGCACUCCCACUGUAUGCUCGUCUUCACUUACUGCAAGGCUGUGUGCACACGCUUGUUCCUUGGAAGCCAUGGUGAAAGAGUCCCCUGGGCCGUCCUCGCUCUCCGUGGGCUCCAUUUCUUCUUGGGACAAAGGGCAGGCACGGCGGACGCCACUCGUUUUGCCUGCCUGUGCCCCCAUUUCUCUCCUGCCCGCCUCCACGUGGGUUUCCUCGGAGAACCUCCCUUCCCCCACGCUCAUUCCAUGCGUCUGGGUGGGGCUGAUCCCCCAAACUGUGUGUGUGUGUGUGUGUGUGUGUGUGUGUGUGUGUUUGCAGGUGGGGAUGUGACUCCGGAUUGGCCAAUCGGCAUCUGCCACCCUCCGGGAUGCAGUGGCUGGUUCAGCCAUGAGCCUACGUACGGUCCAACAGAAGCCAAUCCUGGGAUUUUUUGCGUGGAAUGAUUCAGAAAUUAAAGCUCUGUUUGGGGUUGCUGGGUAUCUGUUUGGUGGCUCUGAACUACUGGGGACCCCCUCCCCCCCAGUGUGAGACGGAAGCCAGCACAAAGGAUGGCAAAACCGGGUAAGAGAGAGGACUCCCGGUGGCGCAGUCCGGGCUGCUGGAUACAGCCGUGCCUGAAGGCACCCUUGUGUUGGGUUUUGUUUUCCUCACUGCCCUUGGCUCAAUGCCUAAGUCUCCAUCACAGAGGCAGGGUUUGGGGUGAGACGUGUCAGAGGUGUCAUGUACCCCUUUCUCCUUAGGCCACUCGAGCUGGGAUUCUGGGAGCACUGGUGAGCCGGUUCCCUUGCGCGAAAACCUGCGUGGAGUGAGGGGCCCGGCGAGGGCAGCCAGCGCACGGCGGGGCUCACCGGCCACAGAAGGAGGAAGGCACAAGCUGCGCCGCGCGUAGCGCCCUGCCAAGACCUCCCCUCGGAAGCGAAUCUGGGAGAAGACUUCAUGGGAAGUAACUUACGAUUUUCCAGUUAUUAAACUUAGAAAAAGAACAAGGAUCACA